UGAGGAAUAUUGGACAAUGGGAGCAAGCCUGAUCCAGCCAUGCCGCGUGCAGGAAGAAGCAUCUAUGGUGUGUAAACUGCUUUUGUACGGGAAGAAACACUCCUUCGUGAAGGAGCUUGACGGUACCGUAAGAAUCAGGAUCGGCUAACUCCGUGCCAGCAGCCGCGGUAAUACGGAGGAUCCAAGCGUUAUCAGGAAUCAUUGGGUUGAAAGGGUCCGUAGGCGGUGUAGUAAGACAGUGGUGAAAGCCCAUCGCUCAACGAUGGAACGGCCAUUGAUACUGCUAGACUUGAAUUAUUAGGAAGUAACUAGAAUAUGUAGUGUAGCGGUGAAAUGCUUAGCUCUUACAUGGCAUACCAAUUGCGAAGGCAGGUUACUACUAAUGGAUUGACGCUGAUGGACGAAAGCGUCGAGAGCGAACA
rnacentral:rRNA from 1 species